UACGUAGGGGGCGAGCGUUGUCCGGAAUCACUGGGCGUAAAGCGCGCGUAGGCGGCGCGGCGCAUCUACCGUGAAAGCCCUUGGCUCAACUAAGGGAGGUCGGUGGAGAUGGCCGCGCUGGAGGGCAGUAGAGGCAGGCGGAAUUCCCGGUGGAGCGGUGACAUGCGUAGAGACCGGGAGGAACACCCGUGGCGAAGGCGGCCUGCUGGGCUGGCCCUGACGCUGAGGCGCGAAAGCCAGGGGAGCGAACGGA
rnacentral:rRNA from 1 species